UACGGAGGGUGCGAGCGUUGUUCGGAAUCACUGGGCGUAAAGCGCGUGUAGGCGGCUUGAUAAGUCUGGUGUGAAAGCCCGGGGCUCACCCCCGGAAGUGCACUGGAUACUGUUGAGCUCGAGUCCCGGAGAGGAGAGUGGAAUUCCUGGUGUAGCGGUGAAAUGCGUAGAUAUCAGGAGGAACACCGGUGGCGAAGGCGGCUCUCUGGACGGUGACUGACGCUGAGACGCGAAAGCGUGGGGAGCAAACAGG
rnacentral:rRNA from 1 species